UACGUAGGGGGCUAGCGUUGCUCGGAAUCACUGGGCGUAAAGCGCACGUAGGCGGAUUGUUAAGUCAGGGGUGAAAUCCUGGAGCUCAACUCCAGAACUGCCUUUGAUACUGGCGAUCUUGAGUCCGGGAGAGGUGAGUGGAACUCCGAGUGUAGAGGUGAAAUUCGUAGAUAUUGGGAAGAACACCAGUGGCGAAGGCGGCUAACUGGUCCGAUACUGACGCUGAGGUGCGAAAGCGUGGGGAGCAAACAGG
rnacentral:rRNA from 1 species